AACCCUAGGAGUGGCCACCUCCUUUAGGGAGAAGGGAGUGCUAGUGGGGUUUGAAGCAGGAGGAAGCCGACGCGCCACCGGAGAACGGACGAGCGACGACGCAUCCACCGACGACCAUAGCCAAGCCCUGCGAGUUGGACCGUCGGGACUUUUGGGCGAGGAAGACGCAGCGCAGGCGCGGGUCGACCCCCGGCAUUCGGCGAGACCUCUCAGCCCGCGUUCGGACACCACCCCAGGGCCUCGUCCCCUUUGUGGCCCAAACCGGAGGCGUUCCAGAAACCCUGCGCCGGCGGUGUUCGUCGCAGCCAUCGUUUUCUACUCCACUGGCGGCUUCGCGAACCUCCGGCUCGGCUAAGUGCGGCUUGGCGGCUCGACAUCCGAAUAGUAUACCGAUUCCUAGGUUUUCGACCCUUCCGAAGCCAUUUCCGCCCUCGUUUCAACCAUUUGAGGAGGUAGUUAGGCGCUGGAGUUAGCGUUGUGGGCGACUUCGGUCAAGGCCAAGGAGGAAAGGGCAAGGCUCCCAUGUACGGGUGACGGUGGAUGAGGCGAAGGGCCAUGGAAAACUUGAGGAGGGUUUGUUGUGUCGUAGCGCCUGUUGAAUUCUCUUGGGUUCUUAGUCUUGCAAAUUGUUUUCUUAGUCUCUGUUGAUUACUUCUAGGCUAGGUUGUCGCAAUUGUUUUUCCUAGGUAUGAACUGCUUAAAUUGAUGAAUGCAUUUUCGUUAUCGAGACUGUUUCCGUGUGAA